rnacentral:rRNA from 1 species
UACGAAGGUGGCAAGCGUUGUUCGGAUUUACUGGGCGUACAGGGAGCGUAGGCGGUUGGAUAAGCCCUCCGUGAAAUCUCCAGGCUUAACCUGGAAAGUGCAGAGGGGACUGUUCAGCUAGAGGAUGGGAGAGGAGCGCGGAAUUCCCGGUGUAGCGGUGAAAUGCGUAGAGAUCGGGAGGAAGGCCGGUGGCGAAGGCGGGUAGCUGGGCCAACACUGACGCUGAUGUGCGAAAGCUAGGGGAGCAAACGGG